GCCUCUUUAGCUCAGUUGGUAGAGCAACCGCCUUGUAAGCGGUAGGUCAACUGUUCGAGUCAGUUAAGGGGCA
rnacentral:tRNA from 2 species